CGUUCCCGGUCUUGUACACACCGCCCGUCACACCACGAAAGUCGGCAACACCCGAAGCCGGUGGCCUAACCCGCAAGGGAGGGAGCCGUCGAAGGUGGGGCUGGCGAUUGGGGUGUA
rnacentral:rRNA from 1 species